rnacentral:rRNA from 1 species
UACGUAGGGGGGCAAGCGUUGUCCGGAAUCAUUGGGCGUAAAGAGCGUGUAGGCGGUCCGGUAAGUCGGCUGUGAAAGUCCAGGGCUCAACCCUGGGAUGCCGGUCGAUACUGCCGGACUAGAGUUCGGAAGAGGCGAGUGGAAUUCCUGGUGUAGCGGUGAAAUGCGCAGAUAUCAGGAGGAACACCAAUGGCGAAGGCAGCUCGCUGGGACGGUACUGACGCUGAGACGCGAAAGCGUGGGAGCAAACAGG